CGGGGUGUGGCCCAGCUUGGUCUAAGGCGCUACCUUGGGGUGGUAGAGAUCGGUGGUUCAAAUCCACUCACCCCGA
rnacentral:tRNA from 1 species